AAACUGCGAUAAGUAGCGUGAAUUGCAGACGCUUUGAACGUUAAACUUUCGAACGCACAUUGCGCCAUAGGAGUCCUACCCUAUGGCACAUCUGGUUGAGGGUCGUGAUUAAAAACAGCAGGAAAAAUGCUGUAUCUUAUGACAAAUUGGUGCAUCAUGACUUCGGCUCGCCUGCCUAAGAGUCGAACGUGUUGUGCCAUCAUGAAACUAAGGCGAAACGACUUGCCCACUUCUUCGGAGGAGGGUAGGUGAAUUCCCUUGCCCCACGGAUGGGCAUAACGGCUGAGGACUAGUUCCGGCCCGUAGUGUACCAUA
rnacentral:misc_RNA from 1 species